GCCCAGGUAGCUCAGUCGGUAGAGCAGGGGACUGAAAAUCCCCGUGUCGGCGGUUCGAUUCCGUCCCUGGGCACCA
rnacentral:tRNA from 2 species